rnacentral:rRNA from 1 species
UACGGGGGGGGCAAGCGUUGUUCGGAAUUACUGGGCGUAAAGGGCUCGUAGGUGGCCAACUAAGUCAGACGUGAAAUCCCUCGGCUUAACCGGGGAACUGCGUCUGAUACUGGAUGGCUUGAGUUUGGGAGAGGGAUGCGGAAUUCCAGGUGUAGCGGUGAAAUGCGUAGAUAUCUGGAGGAACACCGGUGGCGAAGGCGGCAUCCUGGACCGGUAUUGACGCUAAGGCGCGAAAGCGUGGGGAGCAAACAGG